rnacentral:rRNA from 1 species
GAUGAACGCUAGCUACAGGCUUAACACAUGCAAGUCGAGGGGAAACGACAUCGAAAGCUUGCUUUUGAUGGGCGUCGACCGGCGCACGGGUGAGUAACGCGUAUCCAACCUGCCCGUCACUUGGGGAUAACCUUGCGAAAGUAAGACUAAUACCCGAUGAUAUCCCUAGAAGACAUCUGAAAGGGAUUAAAGAUUUAUCGGUGAUGGAUGGGGAUGCGUCUGAUUAGCUUGUUGGCGGGGUAACGGCCCACCAAGGCGACGAUCAGUAGGGGUUCUGAGAGGAAGGUCCCCCACAUUGGAACUGAGACACGGUCCAAACUCCUACGGGAGGCAGCAGUGAGGAAUAUUGGUCAAUGGACGAGAGCCUGAACCAGCCAAGUAGCGUGCAGGACGACGGCCCUAUGGGUUGUAAACUGCUUUUAUAAGGGAAUAAAGUGAGCUACGUGUAGCUUUUUGCAUGUACCUUAUGAAUAAGGACCGGCUAAUUCCGUG